rnacentral:ribozyme from 1 species
UGCCCAGCAACUCCUAUCCCUACCUCCUCUCGGUACUGGCCGGGGUACGAAUAACCUUAGGGAAGAUCGGGUAACCAACCCCCGGUGGGAACUUUGGUCGUAUGCUGACAGGGAAGG